rnacentral:rRNA from 1 species
UACGCAGGGGGCAAGCGUUGUCCGGAUUUAUUGGGCGUAAAGAGCGUGUAGGCGGCUAUACAGGUCCGCUGUGAAAACUCGAGGCUCAACCUCGAGACGUCGGUGGAAACCGUAUGGCUAGAGUCCGGAAGAGGAGAGUGGAAUUCCUGGUGUAGCGGUGAAAUGCGCAGAUAUCAGGAAGAACACCCGUGGCGAAGGCGGCUCUCUGGGACGGUACUGACGCUGAGACGCGAAAGCGUGGGGAGCGAACAGG